CAAAGUCGACAAAAAAACCUGUUCUCUCCCCGGUUUUUUUCUCCAGCAUCUUCUCUCUCUCUCUCUCUCUCUCCCCCCGCCACUGCCACCACCUCUUACACCUGCCGAAGACAACCACCAAUAGACCAGUUCCUCCCCCCAAGCACCAUCGUGGUCUAACGACAGAAACCACCACUGCAGCCACCGCGAGCUUCCCUUCUCCUUUGCAAGCUUCUGCCUCUUCUGCUCCAACAACCAACCAUAGCAGCCAGCUCCAUUAUCACUCGUCGGCGGCGUCUUCACCCACGGCUCCACCACCGGUCAACAACAGGGCCAACUAGCCUCUCCCCAUGCCAGCUACCACGAGCUUCCCCUCACCUUUGCAAGUUUCUGCCUCUUCUGCUCCAGCAACCAACCAUAUCAGCCAGCUCCACUAUCACUCAUCGACGGCGUCUCCACCCACGUCUUUACCACCGGUCAACAACAGGGUCAGCUGCCCUCUCCCCAUACCAGUUACCACGAGCUUCCCCUUUCCUUUGCAAGUUUCUGCCUCUUUUGCUCCAGCAACCAACCAUAGCAGCCAGCUCCACUAUCACUCGUCAUCGGCGUCUCUCCACCUACGUCUCUACCACCGGUCAACAACAGGGCCAGCUGGCCUCUCCCCACACUAGGUAA